rnacentral:tRNA from 1 species
AAAAAGAUAAGCUAAUAAAGCUAUUAGGUUCAUACCCUAAUUAUAGAAGUGAAAUCUUCUUCUUUUUA